rnacentral:misc_RNA from 1 species
GAAGGCCAAGGACAGCCACGCGAUUCGGCCAGGGAAGGGUAAAAUGAGGAACCGCCGCUACAUCUCUCGCAAGGGACCGCUAAUUGUGUAUGGAACUGAAGGAGCCAAGUUGGUUAAGGCCUUCAGGAACAUCCCAGGAGUAGAGCUGGCCAACGUAGACCGUCUCAAUGUCCUGAAGCUAGCACCUGGUGGCCAUCUCGGACGUUUCAUUAUCUGGACCAAGUCUGCAUUCGAGAAUCUGGACUCAAUCUAUGGUUCAUUUGAGAAGCCAUCGGAGAAGAAGAAUGGUUAUGUGCUGCCGAGAGCUAAGAUGGUGAAUGCUGACCUU